UGGCUUGAUGUCCUUCUCACACGGGAUUUUGGACUCAUGAAGUGAUUUCUGAACUUGGUGAAAUCUGUAUUAAAGUUCAGAUUGAAGAAAUUGAGGCUUUUCCCUGAUCAAAGAGAACACAGUCGUCGAUAUUGGAGUCCUAUCCAGUGGGUAUUUGCACUAGCUAGUACAAUAUCAUAUAAUCUCAACUUAUCUAUAUUGAAGCAUACCAGAAUGCAUAAGAGCUCCAUCCGAUAUUUAACUUGAUAUUUAUUUGCCU
rnacentral:lncRNA from 1 species